AUGCACUUCAAAUCCUGGACCGGUGCUGAGUUUCUGAUUCCUGAUAGCAACUUUCCUUCCACAAAGGACUGGUGGUUGCAGGCUAGGGCUGCUAUACCCAAGCACGUGCGAAGGAAUUUCGACACGGUGGUUAUCUUGCUGCACUGGAGGGUAUGGAAGGAGAGAAAUGCCAAGAUUUUUGAUCAGGUUGCCAGCUCGCCGAUCAGAAUAUUGGACCUGAUCAAGGAGGACAUGCCAUGUGGAGAGCCGCGGGAUGCAUCAUGGAUCUGCCCACUUAGUUGCAGUUGUGGUGCCUGA
rnacentral:rRNA from 1 species